AUACUGCUCUUGACAGUUCUUCAUGCUUGGGUGUCUUAAAGCAGCAGCUAAAUUUUGGCUGUGCUUUAGUCUUGCUCUGAAAUAUUAAUGCAUACAGAUAUUGCUUUGUUGUACAGGCUUUCAGAUUGCUCAUCCUGUAGGCCUGUGCCCGCAGGUGCAGCAAGUGUACAUGUUAGCCCAAUAGCCUAGAAACAUUCAGAUCCAAGUCUGCAGGAGCUGGAACCUCCUGCAGAAGUCCUGCUGGCCCACUUGCUGGUUCUGCUUCAGGCAUUGCCAUUGGAUCAUCAAAUGUGCUCUGCACCUGUGCUUGUAUGAUCUCGUGGAAUCUUAGAAUAAAAGGUUUCAUGGUUG
rnacentral:lncRNA from 1 species